GGAUUUCUUACAGGGGCAAGCUGGAACCACACGGUAAUGAGGCGGUCUGGUCUUUCGGGGUUUCUCAGGUUAACCCUGCCGGGACUCU
rnacentral:miRNA from 1 species